rnacentral:rRNA from 2 species
AACGAACGCUGGCGGCAGGCUUAACACAUGCAAGUCGAGCGCCCCGCAAGGGGAGCGGCAGACGGGUGAGUAACGCGUGGGAAUCUACCUUUUGCUACGGAAUAACGCAGGGAAACUUGUGCUAAUACCGUAUGUGUCCUUCGGGAGAAAGAUUUAUCGGCAAGAGAUGAGCCCGCGUUGGAUUAGCUAGUUGGUGGGGUAAAGGCCUACCAAGGCGACGAUCCAUAGCUGGUCUGAGAGGAUGAUCAGCCACAUUGGGACUGAGACACAGCCCAAACUCCUACGGGAGGCAGCAGUGGGGAAUAUUGGACAAUGGGCGCAAGCCUGAUCCAGCCAUGCCGCGUGAGUGAUGAAGGCCCUAGGGUUGUAAAGCUCUUUCACCGGAGAAGAUAAUGACGGUAUCCGGAGAAGAAGCCCCGGCUAACUUCGUGCCAGCAGCCGCGGUAA